rnacentral:rRNA from 1 species
AGCGGCGGACGGGUGAGUAACGCGUGGGUAACCUGCCUUAUACAGGGGGAUAACAGUCAGAAAUGACUGCUAAUACCGCAUAAGCGCACAGAGCUGCAUGGCUCGGUGUGAAAAACUCCGGUGGUAUAAGAUGGACCCGCGUUGGAUUAGCUGGUUGGUGAGGUAACGGCCCACCAAGGCGACGAUCCAUAGCCGGCCUGAGAGGGUGAACGGCCACAUUGGGACUGAGACACGGCCCAGACUCUUACGGGAGGCAGCAGUGGGGAAUAUUGCACAAUGGGGGAAACCCUGAUGCAGCGACGCCGCGUGAAGGAAGAAGUAUCUCGGUAUGUAAACUUCUAUCAGCAGGGAAGAAAAUGACGGUACCUGACUAAGAAGCCCCGGCUAACUACGUGCCAGCAGCCGCGGUAAUACGUAGGGGGCAAGCGUUAUCCGGAUUUACUGGGUGUAAAGGGAGCGUAGACGGAUGGACAAGUCUGAUGUGAAAGGCUGGGGCUCAACCCCGGGACUGCAUUGGAAACUGCCCGUCUUGAGUGCCGGAGAGGUAAGCGGAAUUCCUAGUGUAGCGGUGAAAUGCGUAGAUAUUAGGAGGAACACCAGU